rnacentral:lncRNA from 1 species
UCGUAUUCUGGGAAAUCCGUGUGUUUUUCGAAAACUAAAAAUUAGUUGAGAACUCUAGCUACUAAAUUGAUCGCUAACCUCUCGAGGGGUUGGAAUAUAUAGAGUACCCUCACGUUACCAUGAGUCGAGGAUGCCCAACGAUAACCAAACCCCCAAACACUCCUCCUCGGGGUACUUGUCUCUUUGUGAAUUUCCUAAC